CCCUGCAUUUGAAAGUGAUCAUGGGCUGCCCAUGCCCUGAUCAUUGAUAGUGCAGGGAGGAUGCAGAAGGCCUUUCCCCAUAUUUGGAAGGUCACUCCUGUCCUUGCCAGACUCUGGUGCUUUCCUACA
ensembl:snoRNA SNORA71 Small nucleolar RNA SNORA71